AAUAAGAUGCCUGAAAAAAAGGGUUAUUUUGAUAGAAUAAAUUAUACAUUUUUGUGUUCUUAUUA
rnacentral:tRNA from 1 species